rnacentral:rRNA from 1 species
AACGUAGGUCACAAGCGUUGUCCGGAAUUACUGGGUGUAAAGGGAGCGCAGGCGGGAAGACAAGUUGGAAGUGAAAUCCAUGGGCUCAACCCAUGAACUGCUUUCAAAACUGUUUUUCUUGAGUAGUGCAGAGGUAGGCGGAAUUCCCGGUGUAGCGGUGGAAUGCGUAGAUAUCGGGAGGAACACCAGUGGCGAAGGCGGCCUACUGGGCACCAACUGACGCUGAGGCUCGAAAGUGUGGGUAGCAAACAGGAUUAGAUACCCAGUCCGGCUGACUGACU